rnacentral:lncRNA from 1 species
UCUGGCAUCCUAUAUGGGUGCCAGUUCAAAUCUGGCUGCUCCACUUCCAUUCCAGCUCCCUGCUGUGGCCUGGGAAAGCAGUGGGAGAUGGCCCAAGUCCUUGGGCCCCUGCACUCACAUGGGAAACUCCGAAGAAGUUCUAGGCUCCUGGCUUCAGCCUGGCCUACCUUUGGUCAUUGCAGCCAUUUGGGAGUGAACUAGCAGAUAGAAGAACCCUCUCUCUUUCCCUCUGUAAUUCUUUCAAAUAAAUAAAUCUUUUAAAAAAUGGGGAGCGGGGGGGGGGGGCAAAUUCCUAAAGUAAGUCUACUUGGAAAUGGGUCGGUUGUGGUCAAGGUAAUGAAGAGCAUACUCCUGCCAUCUCCCGACACAAACUCUGUCACUGUACACAGGGCACUUUGCACAAGCCGGGCUGACCCUUUCUGCACUUGAUCUUAGCCAAAAGGCCGAGAAGCAACUGGCUGGCCCUUUUUUCUGCAGGUUUCAACCAAACAACAAAAGCAGAGGUCCCAUCUCUUCUCCCUGCCCUCACCUCCAGGCUUCAGAUGAACCACAGGAGAGGCUGAUGACACGCUGAGACUUUAGCAAAUGGGCAUGUACAUUUCAGAUAAAGAAGAAAGAAAAUACUGCCAUGGCUUACACAUGAACUGCUGUAUGAGCAACAAGAAAGUAAGUCUCCAGCUGGCACCAUGGCUCACUAGGCUAAUUCUCCACCUUGCGGCGCUGGCACACCGGGUUCUAGUCCCAGUCGGGGCACCGGAUUCUGACCCGGUUGCCCCUCUUCCAGGCCAGCUCUCUGCUGUUGCCAGGGAGUGCAGUGGAGGAUGGCCCAAGUCCUUGGGCCCUGCACCCCAUGGGAGACCAGGAUAAGUACCUGGCUCCUGCCAUUGGAUCAGCGUGGUGCGCAGGCCGCAGCGCACCAGCCACGGCGGCCAAUGGAGGGUGAACCAAUGGCAAACGAAAACCUUUCUCUCUGUCUCUCUCUCUUACUGUCCACUCUGCCUGUCAAAAAAUAAAAAAUAAAAAAAAAUAAAAACA